UUGAAAAACCCCUGAGGAGUUUAUAGGUGUUUUGGAUAAUUUUUCUGGACAGAUGUUUAGUUUGAUCCUAAGAGAAAAAUAUAUAUAAGAUUUCUUUUCAGAAUUGAGUUUUAUAAGUUCCGUUCUUAAGAAUCUUAGAGAGAUAAGUUAGAGAAAAACGCCUUGGACUCAAUGAGUUUUUUUCUCUCUAAACCUUCUCUUGGGAGGGAUACUUUCCCUGGAGUUCUGAUUUGGUUGUGUUUGUUCAUUCAGGUAAAUAGAACUGUGAAUCAAGAUUCACUCACGUGAAGUUUGUGGAAGAAGCUCGAAACUAUUUCCUUCUUCUCUUUUCCUCUUAGAUUUUAAGGCGUGGUUUUACUCACAUCAAACGCAAGAUUGGUGGUGCUAGACAUGAGGAGAGAGAAUUGUCUCAAAUUGAAAUGGUGUCAGACAUGGUUUGAAUGGCGCUGAGUGUGAGAUGAGAAAAUUGUUUCUGUUUAGAUUGAGGUUGGGCAUGAGACUUUGUCACACCAGACAUGAGGGUUCAGGGGUCUCUACCUAAUUCACACCAAGUGCGAGUUGUAUGCCAUCUAGUGUGGGCGAGGUAGAAAGCUCCCUCAACGACACUGGGUGCUCCUUGUACUAACUUGUUGUUUUCAUAAAUAAUUGGUGAACAUGGAUAGGUUAAAUGAAUUUAUUACAUGUUGUAUGUUGUUA